CCUACGGGAGGCAGCAGUGAGGAAUAUUGGUCAAUGGACGAGAGUCUGAACCAGCCAAGUAGCGUGAAGGAUGACUGCCCUAUGGGUUGUAAACUUCUUUUAUAUGGGAAUAAAACAGGGUAUGCAUACCCUCUUGUAUGUACCUUAUGAAUAAGGAUCGGCUAACUCCGUGCCAGCAGCCGCGGUAAUACGGAGGAUCCGAGCGUUAUCCGGAUUUAUUGGGUUUAAAGGGUGCGUAGGUGGGUUGUUAAGUCAGUGGUGAAAGUUCGGGGCUCAACCGGAAAAUUGCAGUUGAAACUGGCAGUCUUGAGUAGAGGAGAGGUGUGCGGAAUGCGUGGUGUAGCGGUGAAAUGCUUAGAUAUCGCGAAGAACUCCGAUUGUGAAGGCAGCUUACUAACCUGCCACUGACGUUGAGGCUCGAAAGCGUGGGUAUCAAACAGGAUUAGAUACCCUGGUAGUC
rnacentral:rRNA from 1 species